rnacentral:rRNA from 1 species
AGUGAACGCUGGCGGUAGGCCUAACACAUGCAAGUCGAACGGCAGCACAGUAAGAGCUUGCUCUUACGGGUGGCGAGUGGCGGACGGGUGAGGAAUACAUCGGAAUCUACUUUUUCGUGGGGGAUAACGUAGGGAAACUUACGCUAAUACCGCAUACGACCUACGGGUGAAAGCAGGGGAUCUUCGGACCUUGCGCGAUUGAAUGAGCCGAUGUCGGAUUAGCUAGUUGGCGGGGUAAAGGCCCACCAAGGCCACGAUCCGUAGCUGGUCUGAGAGGAUGAUCAGCCACACGGGAACUGGGACACGGUCCAGAUUCCUACGGGAGGCAGCAGUGGGGAAUAUUGGACAAUGGGCGCAAGCCUGAUCCAGCCAUACCGCGUGGGUGAAGAAGGCCUUCGGGUUGUAAAGCCCUUUUGUUGGGAAAGAAAAGCAGCAGGUUAAUACCCCGCUGUUCUGACGGUACCCAAAGAAUAAGCACCGGCUAACUUCGUG